rnacentral:rRNA from 1 species
GCCUACGGGGGGCAGCAGUGGGGGAUAUUGCACAAUGGGGGGAACCCUGAUGCAGCGACGCCGCGUGGGUGAAGAAGCGCCUCGGCGCGUAAAGCCCUGUCAGCAGGGAAGAAAAUGACGGUACCUGAAGAAGAAGCCCCGGCUAAAUACGUGCCAGCAGCCGCGGUAAUACGUAUGGUGCAAGCGUUAUCCGGAUUUACUGGGUGUAAAGGGAGCGCAGGCGGCACGGCAAGCCUGAUGUGAAAGCCCGCGGCCCAACCGCGGGACUGCAUUGGGAACUACCGGGCUGGAGUGCCGGAGAGGUA